ensembl:lncRNA novel transcript
CUUCUCUUAAGCCGGAGCUCGGCUUCAGGAGUACUUUUCAAAAUAUCAUGUAUUUUGCUAACUCUAUAUAACUCCAUGUGUCAUUUCAUCCAGAAAACUUGUUUCUAAUGCUUUUUUCUCUGGACUCUAAGCUGGUUGAUGCCACCAGGCCUUGGGAAAAAGCCUGCCUUCUGAUAGGAUUGCUAUUGAGUAGCAAAAAUUCUUGGAUUCUGAUAACAUCUUUCAUGCAGAAACUCAAAGCAUCUCCCAAAUUAUAAGCCCAUUCUUUUACACUGUUCUACACUCUCACACUCUAGGAACAACUCAUUUCAAUCUUGGGACAUUGACCAGAAUUCAGGGAAACUAGCAUGAUCCUUCCAGUCUGACGUUUCAUUCCAUCUACUGUCCAAAGCUGUGUCUACAAGGCAUCACCUAUGAGACAAUAAAACAAACCCUCUGAAAUCAGGAAAUUUGCCAGAAGAUGGCGAGCUGGGAAGAAAUAAAACCAGGAUUUGAGCCAGAACUUGGCUUCAAGCUGACCUCACCCCACCUGCAAGUCUUAAUACACUUGGACAUGCCAUGAAAUGACAAGAAAUAUUCAGAUUUUAGAUAUGUAAAAAUAUUAAAACUAUGCCUCUUAGAAUCUG